CCUCAUGGUUGUGAAAUUAAGCCCCAAAUUAGUCUCCAUGCUGGCAUGAAGCCUACUGAGGGGGGAAAAAAAGGAGGAGGAAGGAUGGAAAGAAGAAAGAAAAGAAAGAAAAAAAUCUUUUCAGAUGUGAUCAAUUAAGGAUCUUGUGAUGGAGAGAUUAUUUUCCUGGGUUAUCUCGGUUGUUCCUAAAGACAAACACUUGUAUUUUUAUCAAAGGAAAGAAGAGGGAAAUUUGACAUGCCCACAUAGGGGAAGGCGAAAAGAAGAUGGAACAGAAAGAAUAUUCUGGUCUUGAAGACUGGAGUGAUGCAGCCCAAAGCCAAGAAAUGCUGGCGGCCACCAGAAGCCUGAAGAGACAAGAAAUGGUUCUACCCUACAGCCUCUGGAGGGAGUGUGCCCCUGCUUCCAUCUCGAUUUUGGCUCAUUAGUGCUAAUUUUGGGUUUCUAGCCUCCAGAACAAUGAGAGUAUACAUUUCUGUGGUCUUAAACCAUGAAGUUCAAGGUGAUUUGUUAUAGAAACCACCAGAAACUAUGUAUAUAACUUCUAAGCAAGUUAUACUUAGGUAUUAAAGAUACACUUAGUGGACACCUUGCUGUCUCCUGUAGCCCUCAUCUUAAACAACAAUACAAGUGCAGCAUUCCUCCAACUUUACCAUGGACAGAAAACACCUGUAUCCUUUUGAAAUGCAGAUUCUAACUUGAGCCUGGGCACUAUGAGAAGAUGCAGCCCCUCUCAGCCUGGAUCUCAGACAAAUAGAGCUCUCCCAACCUCUCCUCACCCAUCCCCACUCUUCACAACCUCUGAAGGACAUGAGGCCCAAUCAAGGAAUAAACUCUUGUUGCUUAAACCCACUGA